rnacentral:snRNA from 1 species
UGCGCUUUGAUGAUUAUAAUCGAAU